rnacentral:rRNA from 1 species
UAGGGAAUCUUCCACAAUGGACGCAAGUCUGAUGGAGCAACGCCGCGUGAGUGAAGAAGGGUUUCGGCUCGUAAAGCUCUGUUGUUGGUGAAGAAGGAUAGAGGUAGUAACUGGCCUUUAUUUGACGGUAAUCAACCAGAAAGUCACGGCUAACUACGUGCCAGCAGCCGCGGUAAUACGUAGGUGGCAAGCGUUGUCCGGAUUUAUUGGGCGUAAAGCGAGCGCAGGCGGAUUGAUAAGUCUGAUGUGAAAGCCUUCGGCUCAACCGAAGAACUGCAUCAGAAACUGUCGAGCUUGAGUACAGAAGAGGAGAGUGGAACUCCAUGUGUAGCGGUGAAAUGCGUAGAUAUAUGGAAGAACACCGGUGGCGAAGGCGGCUCUCUGGUCUGUUACUGACGCUGAGGCUCGAAAGCAUGGGUAGCGAACAGG